GACGAACGCUGGCGGCGUGCUUAACACAUGCAAGUCGAACGGAAAGGCCCUGCUUUUGUGGGGUGCUCGAGUGGCGAACGGGUGAGUAACACGUGAGUAACCUGCCCUUGACUUUGGGAUAACUUCAGGAAACUGGGGCUAAUACCGGAUAGGAGCUCCUGCUGCAUGGUGGGGGGUGGAAAGUUUCGGCGGUUGGGGAUGGAUGCGCGGCUUAUCAGCUUGUUGGUGGGGGAGUGGCUUACCAAGGCUUUGACGGGUAGCCGGCCUGAGAGGGUGACCGGCCACAUUGGGACUGAGAUACGGACCAGACUCCUACGGGAGGCAGCAGUGGGGAAUAUUGCACAAUGGGCGGAAGCCUGAUGCAGCAACGCCGCGUGCGGGAUGACGGCCUUCGGGUUGUAAACCGCUUUCGCCUGUGACGAAGCGUGAGUGACGGUAAUGGGUAAAGAAGCACCGGCUAACUACGUG
rnacentral:rRNA from 1 species